GCAAGGUACUGGAAAAUAACUGAAAACAUCAUUGCAUUAUCAUAUGUUUACAUUAUCGGUGGUUACUUUAUGUCUUGAAUACUGUGUGCAGAAGGUAUAGUAGAACUAGGAAAGGUACCCUAGGUAAGGGUAACAAAGACAUCCGUAGGUAUGGACUGGCUUCAAAGACACUAAACAGCCUAAGAGUUCUCAGUUUAAGAGAGAAAACUUGCUAAACUAUGAGAGAGGUACAUGAAGUCAUGAAUGCUACACAGAAUGUAAAUUGGGAAUAAUUACUCACUGAUUCUCACAGGAGAAGAAUGAGAGGAAUCUGGUGGUGCUAUUGAGCCUCAUGUUUAAAAGAAAGGGAAAUAUUUCUUCUGUAUAACCCACGGUCCUAUUUCACAACCCUGUAUGCUGUGGAGGCCAGAAGUGGGAAGAGGUUUGUGUUGUCUGGGUAGUUCAUAGUCAUCCUGUGACUGACAGACACCACCAAAUCCACCUCUUCUGUCACCAGCCAGUUUACAUGUCCUAGCAAGUUGUCAUCAGAAGCAGCUACUAAAUCCUGCAACCAUCACGAAUACCUACACAGUACUGACCUCAUGUUUCUGAGGAUUCCACAAGCUGUAAGAAGAAACCCUUGUGAAUGCAGACUCCCAUCCCCUCUGGAAAGUCUGGAAGAAUUUCAUACAGCUUCCCUGCAUUGCCAGCCUGUGGGUGGAAGAGCACUGGUUAAAGCGGGCUUUCUCUCAAACUAACAAGAGCACUUCAAGUGUGUUUCCUAUUUCUGCAACAAUCAGCAGAUGAAAUUGGAGGGAGAACUGCCAGAUCACCUUAAUGAUAUGCUAACCUGAAGACUGUCAUCAGGAAAUGGUUAUAAUACUGGACUAGACCUGAUCUCUCUUAAUUUCUCUAAUCCCAGACCAUUUCUGCAAGAAGGAUACUGCCUAUUCUGCAGAUAUAGACCAUUGGAAAUGUUUUCUAAGAGUGCUGAUAACAUUAUGCAGACUGGUGAUGAGAUAAUGUAGGAUGUAUCUUUAAAGGUGUCUUGGAUGAAACAGUCAUAAGUCAGAACAUGUAUUCAUGUCAUCAACAUGCGACUUUACAGGAUUUUGCAAAGUAGGCUUUCAAGCAAUAAUUUCAAAUGGAAUCUGAUGGUUAUCCUUCUAUUUGCCGCACCAUUAAUGCUUGCAUUUAUCAACAAUGGUGAUUAUAUUUCUUAGAAACCAUUAUUCUUCCUGAACAUAUCUUCUUCUAUUACUUCAGCAUAAUUAAUUACCAUUUCAUCUUCCUCCUCCCGUGGCCUCUUCCAUCACCUUUACAUGACUUCCUUGUGAUUUUAUAACUUCCUUUAUUGUACCUAUGCUUUCCUGCACCAUUUAUUCUUUGGGAAACCUUACUCACCUUCCAUGUUGCCUGUAUCCUGAUAUCUGUAGGCUUAAUUUUGACAUUUGGCCUUUUGUAUGGAAUUUCUCAGGUUUCCAUUUAAGGAGGGGCAGAUACAGGGAGGGAGACAUUAAAACAAGACUCUUCUCUAUUGCAUUAGAUGCUAAUAAUGUGUAUAAUUUCCUUAAUCUGUUAAAGUGAAAUGACUAACAAAUUGUGUAAACUAAAGGUCUAUGGACUUCAAAAAAGUAAUACUCUUGUUUUAAUUGUUUUUUUCUACAGUCUCUAAGAGUGCCUACGCAUUAUGACAAUGCUUUCUUGGAUUCACCCAUUUAGCAUAAGUCAGCCUCUUUCUGCAGCAAAGCACAUGGUACAUACAUUAAUACUGAGGUCUAGUACUUGAAUUUACUUGUGUUUACUCACGUACUUACUACCUUAUACAUACUUCCACUGAUUUCAGUGGAGCAAUACAUACAGGCCUCCAUCCUAUAUUGCAACUUGCUAAGGUGUCUCCAUUUCCUUUGAAAUCCUACCCUUUCCAAGAAUGAGUUCAAAUAAGGGUAGCACUCAAGCAAUACUGAAGGAGCAGCCAGGAUAGUUACUGAAAACCAUAUUUCUGUUCCUAGAGUCAGGCUGAUCUCAGUAAAAUAGCACCUUGCACUGUCUUUAAGCGGCAUGAGCAUGGAUGUUUGUGAAUAAGAAAAGUGCACUCCAUUAAUGUGAUCCAACUCCCAUAAUAGAUAAUGGCUUGCUCUCCUUUGACUUUAAUGGGAAAUAAGAUCAGCGUGUCAGUGCUAUAAAAAAAAAGGCUUUGUUAAAAAAAAAUAUUCAUUUUGAAGAGUUACACAAUAGGGAAGAGACAUUCUCUGCAGCCUGAAAAUGUCUUCUGCAAACAUAGUUAUCUUGCUGUUUAGCUUCAUAACAACAGAGCUAAUCAGGGUUUCUGCUUAAUUUGAAAUACAUAUUCACUUUCCAGAUGACUCAGGAAAGAAGAGUGCAUUUAUAGUGCUUUUGGCAGGCUUGUAGGGAUUCCUUUGAGUGGAUAAGGACCUGCUUUUCUUCCAGGUAAUUUGGACCAUCUCCACUCAUUUGAUUUUCACUAUCACCAAAAAGCGAUCCACGUAGGAGUUCCAUAAAGCUGCAAAUUACAGUUGAGUUCAAAUCCUUAAAGACAUUUCAAGUGCACAUUGUAACAGAGACUCAUAGUAAUCAAGUUGCAGAAAGACUCUUAUAACAGCCAUCUCUCUCUUUCUGAAUUGCUGGGGAGCAGGCAGAUGUGGAAAUUAUGAGUAAUGUAAUUGAUGAUCUUAAGGCUUUUAAAUACCCAAGCUCUCAACAAUCAAGAUCUAUUUGAGUUCAGAAUCUAAUAAGUAGUAAAUACAAUAGGUUUCAGUAGGAUGUUUUAUCAGGUUCUCUGCAGUGCUUCCCCCCCAACCACCCCUCGCUUUUAUGGGCAACAUUACCAUCUAAUCAGCAGACAAGUUGGAAAAUUUUAUUGUGACACAUAAUCCUUUUUAGUUCAUCAUAUUUCUCUUUCUUUCAUGUGCAGUUAUGGUGAGCUGGGUUAUCAGGCACGUGUUUUCAGAGAUUUUGUCCUCUUUUUUUUUUUUUUUUUUUAACAGAUGAGAAAGAGAAUCCUGAUAUUCCAGGUUGUUUAUUUACAACUUACUUAAAGGUACCAAGAAAGAAAAGUGGUUGCAUUAAACUCCAAAAAUACCAAUACAGUGAAUUAAUGUCCUAAAUAUUUCCCAGAUGCCUUAAAUUAUAAAAACUUUUUAGUAAUGAUGAUGGCUCCAAGAUAUAUUCUGGAUAUACUCAAUAUGUUCUAGAAGUAUUAUUUCAACCCAAUGGAAAAGUUGCGUAUAGUGAGGAGUUAAUUUCAGUUCUUCAUCUGUUUUCCUUUAAUCCACAGACCAGACUGAAUGAAUCCAAAAUUCUACAUUAUGUUUCAGCUAAAAAAAAUAAGAAAACAUUUGUCAGUGAAUAACCCAACUCAUGCUAUUACCAUAGGUACAGAGCCUAACACCCUUGCUUACGUGUUAAUUUAUCCACACACAAAAAAAUCAUGUUAGUGUGAGGUGAGUAAAAAAUAUUUGCACCACUGGAAAAACUGCUAAAUCACAUUUCUCCAGAUUCUCUGAAAAGCAAAAUAUGUUGCAGCUCUGCCUUUGGUAUUUCCUAGUUUGGUAGAAUGAAAACAGAAGGCCUUUUUUUUUUUUUUUUUUCCAAGUAAGAAUAUAUUUUCACUGCAAAAAAGGGAACUUUUCAUUCAGAAUGAGAGAAUGAAAACAGAAAAUUUAUAUAGACAUUAGAAAGUAUAAUUUGUUCAAAGGGGGCAUUUCUUAUUAUUUUUACCACAGGGAUUAAAAAGAACUCAUUUUCUCUUGGUUAUAAAAUCAGAAUAUUUGCUACUAACUGAGGUUUUUACAAGUGUUCCUGCCUUCUUGAAAAAAGGAGUGAUCUUUUGGGGUUACAUGUAUGUCUUCACUGCAGUGCAUUUCCUACCAAGUGGUGAACCAGAUUUAUGGGACAGGCAUAAGUCUGUGACCAAAAGAAAUGGUACUUAGGUCAGCUGGGACUGGAGGUAAAACCUGAAGUUGUGCUUUUGCUGAGGUUGGUACACCACUCAGUAAUGAGGCACAAACUAAUGAGCAGUCUUAAACACUGAUAGUGUUCCAGUGCCAAUACUUGGCUCAUCUUACUGCAAGCAAAGAACUAUGGCAUAUGUGCCCUGGAAGUGCUAACAACAUGAACGGUACCUGUUAGGACACAAUAACUUGGAUAUGCUUUUGCAAUAUUCUUCUAGAUGUCCUAAAGCUAUGAAGAAGGUAUCAGUCUUGAAAUAAAUAUUUACUGUCUUGCCUGGAUGAGCCCCAUUGGCAUAGUAAAAUGCAAUCAAUAAAAUACAGGUCCUCACGCCCAGCUCCAGCAAUUUGCAGGUGGACAGCUGACAUACAUAAGCUGCUCCAAAGCACCAUUGUAUCUCUCUCCUGUUAUACAGCCAUUUAAGCAUACCCUGAAAAAAAAUGGAAAAAAAUAAAAGGAAAAAUUUAGGCUUCUUUACAUUCAAAAUUUAAUAACUGUUAAUGUUUCUUGGAAAAGUAUCUGAAGUCCAGAAGAGAGAAAAUUCAGGGCGGUGGUCCUUGCUCAAAACUUGAGUUCAGCUGCCUUAAUAUACAGCUAUGGGGAAUGGGGGAUGGUGGGACAACACAUUAUCUCCACCUAUAUGUGUUUGCAGGGCCAGAGAGGAUACAAUUUUGUUCUUCAACCACCCUUCUUUAUAGGACUAAAGAAAACAAUUCAGUCAAUGCCACUGUGAUUCCAUCACUUUUUCUGAUGAAUCAGCAAUCUUUUGUUGAAAAAAGAACCUGCUCUGUUGUAACACUUCCAACCCAUUCUACUAUCAAUUGCAAAAUUACGGCUAUUGCUCUAAAUGGUUUAUGUUGGAAAUAACCAGGAGAGUCAGGCCAAAUUGAAUAUGCUUUGUAUUAGGGAAAGCAUUCUGUAUCAUUUAAAGUCUCCCAGAGUACAUACAAUUUUUCUAACUUCUCUCGUUCUGAAUAUUAGCCCUGCAAUUUAGGCCUGUGUUUGAAGCCUGGCAGAUUGGGAAGUAUGAUACUAAUGCAUGCAUUGAUUAUGAAUGCCCGGGUUAAAUGAACAAUUAUUAACUAGUGAAUGAGGUAGUUAAAGAACGUCUUAGUUUACUGUUACUGUAUUUCCCAGUGACAAGACUGAAAGCAAGCUAAAAAUCUUUUUGGAUGCAGGAUUGUUUUUCCAUGGAUGAGGGAUUACAGAUUGGCUUUUUAACUUCAGCUUUUCCAAAUAGUUUUUCAGUUAUUUAAUUUACUCUACAUGGAGUCUAUUGAUUAUUCAAGUUGGCAGUCAAUUUUAUAGGGCACCCCGCUGUUUCUUUGCUUAAUGUAGUCAAUGAUUGUAAUUGCUUGAUCAGUGCAGCCCAUGAAAUAGGUUUUGUGUCUUUUUUACAAUGCAUUGAUGGCUUUAUCUGAUGCAGUCUUGGCAGGGUCUAGGUUUUACAGCACUAUCCUGAACUCCCAGAGGUCUCUAGAUUAAUGGCUAUGGCUUUCUGUUGGAGCUGCUGAUACUGCUCUCCAGAAUGUAUUCACACAUCUGGCAUGCCACACUUGGCAGUUGUGCCAGCUUUUUGUUGCGCAGUUACAGAAUAUCUCACCAGUGCCUAGUUAACUGUUUUCACUAAGGGAAUGAGAUAAAAAGCCAUCCACAGAGUUGUUGGCACGCGCUCUGUGUCAUUGUAAUCACAAAUUUUUAAUUUUUCUAUUACACUUUUUAUACGGCCAAUUGAUGUUUAGAAACAACAAAAUACACAUGAUAUUUGUUGUAUGAACUCUGAUUUGAUUCUGUAAAAGAUUCCAAGCUUAUUGUGAUUUCCUGUAAAUGUCCCAUUAACGCUUUCUUUCCAAGAAAAAAAAAAAAAGAAAAAAAGAAAAAAAGAAAAAGCUUUACGCUGUACUGUCAGUAAAUAAAUGGAUUAAAAUUG